rnacentral:snoRNA from 1 species
AGCUAAGUGCUACUUCUGGAAACUGGGCCCUGCCUGGGGGCUGCAGGGGCCAAUGGUUGGAGCU